AAACUUGACGAUGAUGAAAUCAUCGAAUAUAUCCUCAAUGGCCUCAAUGCGGAUUAUAAUCCGAUUGUCUCUUCAAUGGUUGCUAAAGACAAUCUUACACUGACUGAUAUGUACGCUCAGUUCCUUUCUUAUGAAGC
rnacentral:snoRNA from 1 species